AAUUUAUUUUAAUAGAAAUUAUAGUUCCAAAUAUGUUUAUAUAUUUUAUGUAUUUAUAAAUUUGUUUUCUUUGUCUUUAAGGAAGCUUAGAUUUUGAAAUUGGAAAAAAUAUAACCACCUCUAUAUUAUUUUAAUUAGAAAAUUUAAAAUUUAUAUCAUAAUAUUUUAUUAACUUUUAAUAUUAAUUUUUAAGGAACCCUCAUUCACUAAAACUGGUCACUAUAAACAUCUAAACAUAAAAUAUACAUUCACUAAAACUGGUAAGUUGUACUAACUUUCUAACCAAAAUUCAACCGGGGUGAAUGUACAUGAUGAUAAAAUAUUUAAGGAACCCUCAUUAAAUACAAAGCGACAGCCACAUGGUCUCUAUUUGUUGUAUAGACUUUGAAUGGUUGCUUUAGUUCUUCUCAAGUUGUUAAAGUCUAUCCACGAAGUCUCAAAAACAAAGAUUAUGUAAUUGUUGAUGUCAAAUCAUUGUUGUGUUAUAGUCAAAUGGGUCCUCAAAAGUUACUUGUAGUUUUUAGUGGGCCAAUUUGGAAUAACGUCAAAUAUAUAGAUUCCAAAGAGAAGAUAAGGUAUAAAUUCUUAAAAUAAUAAUAAUUUCCUAUAAGAUACAAUGUAGAGUAUUAAUUGAUGAGCUUACCUAGCAACUCGAGAAUAAUACAAAGAGUGUGAUUGGUAAAAAUAGAGUAAAAUGGAGUAAAAAUAUUUAGUGAAAAAGAGAUGAAAAUAAUUGGAGUAAUAUGGUGAGAGAGAGAGAGAGAGAGAAAACAGAAGUGGAGUAAAUGCUGUUACGCUAAUAAAUUAUGGAGUAAAACUGAGUGUGUUUGAAUUCAUUAUAUCUAUAUUAACAUUUAUAAAACUGAAUAACACUGUGAAAACUGCAUCAUAAUCAAAAUUUGUGUAGAAAUUUGAAGCAUGGUAGUUUUUCUAGUUAAAAGGUAUUUUGGAUUUUUACUAUUUAACUAAUUUUAGGUGUGGAUGUGGUUGUCGAUUAGUACAUAAUUUCUAGUUAGAUACAAAAAUGUGACACUAUUUUCAUUGACCAAGUGGGAAAUGAAAGAAUUCCGGUGCAACACGAACUUAUGAAAAGGAUAAUUUAUAACUUGUUUUGAAUCUUUUAUUAUUAGGGUACACCAUUUAAUUACCAAAAGCUACUUGGUAUAAUAAGCUUUUAUUUGUGUUAUUGUUAAUUUAGAUCUGAAACUUGUGAUAUGAAUUUUCUAUAGAUUUAGCAACUUAAGCUUUAUCUCAAAGCUUCCCAAACAAUCAUGAAAAAGGGCUCAAAUUAUUUGUACUAAAACUUUGAACAUAAGAGCACGUUUAUUCGAAGACCUUAAGAAGAGACCUUAGCUUAAGAAAGAUUAAAAAUAAAUAAAAAACCCCAAUUAAACCAAAGCGCGUCCCUUAAUUAAGGGAACAAAGGCACGACGCUUAUUGGCCACGCGGCAGGAGUUCAUUGGAGAGAGAAGAGGUGUGCGUGUUUCUUCCCGUUUCUUCUUUCUCUUCUUUCUUUUUUCCUUCUCUCCUCUUCCAGCCACAAGAAAGGCGAUUUCUAUUCUUUUUGGUGGCUCUACACAAAGAUCGGCGUGUCUCUCGAUGGCGAAUCGGAAGGGUUUGAUCAAGAGGCAGGAUCAAGGCUAAACCUUUCUCUCUGUCAGACAAAACCCCAAAUAAAUUUAAUAUUUUUUAUUUGUUAAGGACCUUAAAAUUAAGCAACUACCAAUAAACCACUUUCAUUAAGUGUCUCUUAACAAAUUAUCUUACUUUACUUUUAUUAGUUAAAAAUUCAUUAAGCACCACUUAAGGGCUUUAGCAAUAAACGUGCUCUAAGUACUAAGUACGUAGUCCCCACCUACUACUAAAAGAUAAAGCGCACAUUACUCACAACAUCACUUUGUGUUAAUGGUCCUUCUUUUAUGGCCCCUUUGUUACUGGAUCUUUAACAAACCUAAAAUAGGCUUGUAAACAAUUUUUUUUUUUUGGUAAACAAUUUGUAAACAAUUUGUUUACGAAUAUUUGGAGAAUGAAUUUUUAUAUAAAAAAGCUUUGGAAAAAAAACCCAGCCUGUGGACCUGUGGUUAGUUUUUUUCUUAAUCUGGGCAUACACCUGAAUAAAGAUAGAACUUACAUAAUAUAACAGUAGCAGAAACAUUAAGAAAAACUUUUUGUUUCAAAAUUUAGCGUAAAUACAUGAUUUUUGUGAGUUAGAUAGGAAUUUAUCAGAAAAAGAAAGAUGGUGGCCUGAUCCUCACAUGAAUCCAACUAAUAGUUCAAAGGGUCUUUCCGAGCCAUUGAAAUUCAUUUUUCUUAAAAAAUCCACUGAAAAUUUUACACAAGAAAGCAGGUGUAGAGGUUGUUGUUAUAAGAUGGCUGGUCUAGUUACAUUUACAACGUUAAAAGGGUUUUGUUUGAGGGUUCAAGGAUAUAUAUAUAUCAUGACAUCUUAUCUCCGAUGAACAAUGAAAUAUUUAAAAGCGCUAGCUAUGACUGAGAUUAGUUUUGCAUCUAAUAUUGCACAAAUUUUAUUGAUAUGGUUGACGACCCAUCAGAAUGGCCGGUUGUUUGCUCCAGAACUAGAGGACUUCAAAUAUCUUAAGGAAUUUUUACCUUUUUCUUUGUUAGAUAUGUUCCUCGAAAUUGUAAUAUCUGUGCUAAUUGCCUUGCGAAAAGAGCAAGAGUGCGAGUUUUUCGUUUUCUCCAUGUAAGUUUGAAAAUCCUUGUCUGGGGUCAAGAGGAGUGUUUUGAUCCAUAUCUUAACAAAAUGGUGAUUUUGAGAAAAAGAGCUUUGUUUUGGGGAUAAUAUCUCUGAAGGGCACUACAGAAGUAAAUGGCUGAUGUUUUGUGUCCCGAGUCGAAACCAAGCCGCAAGGCACAACUGACAUUUGCUGGUACCAAACGCUACCACUAAAUACCACUCACUCGGUCUUAUUUACGAUUUUACUCGCCACCCUUUCUACAAAUAUAGCAUUUACUGCUAUUAUACUAUCUGUCCGUUUUACCAAAAAAUAUUGAUUUGACAAAGAAAACAUCUACAUACUAGAGGAGUAAAAAAGAUUUCGAUUCAUUUAUUUUGGUUGGCUACACCUGCAUGUAAUGAAGAGUAGACGAACGGUGAAGUGAAUCCAGACAUAUCUCACGUGGUGUUGUAUCCGGAAAGUUAGGCAUCUGACAUCAAUAACACAAACUAUGUAUUCAUAUCCAGCACUAUUGUGUUUAGAGUUUUAGUCUCAUCUGUGGGCAUUAGUUUAUGCAGUUAUUUUCUUCUUUAAUUUAUUUUUCUUAUGGUUAAUCCUUGUUCAUUUUAUUGGUAGUGGUUUUGUUUAUUUGCAAGGAGCGUAUUAUCUUGGGUGCGAUAAAGAAAACUAAUUUUAUUAAUUCAGAAAAUGUUAUAUAAGUUUUGGUAGGGAUAUCGCAGGGUCAGAAGUGAAAAAGUCAAAAAAGAUUUAUACUGCCUUACGAAUACCUAAAAAUUUAUACCAAGAAAGAAAGAUUAAGAACCCUUUCAUUUACGUAACACAGUAAAAGCUCUAUAACUUAAUAAUGUUGGAACUGUAGUAUUUUAUCAAUUUAUAGAGUUAUUAAUUUAAAAAAAAAAUAUUUUUUUUCUUUUAAGAUAUAUUUUUAUCUAAAAUUAGAGAAAUAGUUGAUAUUAUUGUAUAUACAUUUUUUUUUGAAAUUCGACAUUUAUAUUGGUUUUAUUAUACUAUUUGGUGUAUGUAAAAUAUGUUUCACAUAAUUUAAAUACGGUUUUAGAUAUAAUUUUACUAGUAUUACUAGAUAUCAUUAAAAUAUAUUUAGUGCUAAGAAAAUAUAAAAAUAAUUUCGUUGUGAAUAUAAAACAAGCAUUAUAAUAGUUGAUUCAUAUUUAUAUAAAAUGUGUAUACAUAUAAAUUGCUAAUUCAUAUUUUUAAUGGGACCAAAUAUUUGCAUAGGAUUUUCUAAAAAUUUAUUAUCUUAUUAUUUUAUCGAUUUGUGUCCUAUUUUGAAUCAGUCCGUUUUGAGACUGAAGAAAAUUAUUAAUUUAUCGUGUUUAUUAAUUUAUCGGGUAUUAAUUUAUAGAGUUUCUACUGUAUAUACUUCAAUGAUCACUUGUUCUUAUUUCUCCAGCACAUAAGCUUACUAAUGUUCCCCUGUACUUUUAGUCAACAAUAAUUUGCAUCUAGGAAUAAUUAUUUAUUUUUGACAAAAUGAUUAUUAUCGUUAUAUAUAAAUGUUGACUGAUGCUAUAAAUAGUAAAAAUGGGUACUAAGUUACAUUAUAUUAGACCAUGAAGAAACUAGGGUUAUUAGCUUCACUUAAUAGACGGUUCUUAGCUUUUCUUAUAUUUUAAUUAAGAAAAUCUAAGAAACGGCUCUUAGAGCAUGAUUAUCGCUGCCGGUUUCUUAAAAAACUUUUUUUUGUUUUUUUUUGUUUGAAAUAAAUAAAAAAAAAUCAAAAAUUAACCAAUCGCGGACCGUCAUGUGUUAGUAGGAUCCGCAAACAGUGCAAGAAACUCCAAAAUCGAUUCUUAUUUCAUAUGUUUUGUGAUCGAUUCUUAACCUUUUUGCGGGGUCCACACUCUAAAAACCCACUAGGACCCCGCGAUAAAGAUGGUCUUAUAUCUCUUGAUUUAAGAACCGUUUCUUAACCAAAAAUUAUUUAAAAAAAAUGUUAAAUCAUGAGUUAAGAACUUCGGCUAAGAGACCGGGAUUAAUCAUGCACUUAUGCUAAUUUCUUCACCCACAUAGAGGGGGGGAGGGCUAAGGUAAAGGUGAGAUUCGUAAAGAUGUAAUGUACAAUAA